CGGUUGGGCCGGUGCAGUGCCUCGACCGGACAACGGGUCAGGAUCGGAAGGUAGCAGCCCACCCGGCUCGACCCACGUGCAUCGACCACCUGGCCGGCG
rnacentral:SRP_RNA from 1 species